rnacentral:lncRNA from 1 species
CUGCACCUUCUUCAUUCUCCAAUGCGUGCUCCAAGGACACAUCAUCAACUACUGCUCACAUCCAAAGGAUUGGAUGAUCAUUGCAAGGGGGAAGGCAAGCACAUACAACAAACAAUGCAAGGGUGAGCUAGGUAUAAAAAGCAUGUUAUCAAUCAAGUAUUUCAAGCAUGCAAGGACCAUAAACAAUACAAACUAAGACCAAAUGCAUUUUAUUGAUACCAAUGACCGACCACGUGAUUUUACCAUCCGGACUGGUAUGAAAUGUCAAGUUCCAGGGGUUUGUGCACCCGGGUGGUGUAUUAACUGGAAAUCCAUCAACUGUCACCUGAGGUUAGUCCAUUACAGCGGUAUAGGCCUACAGUGAAAGCGCCUAUCCUAGGACCUCCUGUUAUUCUCACCACAUGACUCAUCACUCUCUACUUGAGCUUGGAUGAUCAUUAGAAUGUCAGGGUAAACCCCAUCGGGAACUCCGGCCAUUCAUACAGUCAAUCACAACAAACUACAGGGCACCACCAUGUAACCUCCCUUGAGGAUCAUGGAAUUACGUCCAUCAACCAUACUCUGUACAUACAUGCUUUCAAACUAUAAUUCACCACUUUAAAUCACAUGAUAUUCCUCUUGAAUCAAUAAUAUACCUCCAAUGCUAUAAUAAGUCAUAUACACAUCAUACAACAUCAACCCUUCUUACUUUGCACUAAAAUCAUUACACUCUUAAUUUACCAAAAGCAAUUAACUAGAAAGUUUGAACUGAACGUUUUAAGCAUGAGCCGAGCACUUAGUGCAUUGGCGGACCACUGGGAAUGGACUAAGUGUCAGUGCAUGACCGAGCACUCUUUGAUAGAACGAACGGUCAUGAACUGGCACGAUCCAAAGAGGGAUGAACCCACUUACGACCGAGAGCAAUACAAGACCGAGAGCACACAAGACUGAACGACUAUAAAUUGUCAAGGCUCAAGAGGAACCAACCACCUUUUCUGACCGAGAGCACACAAGACCGAGAGCAAUACUAGAUCGAGAG